GGGGGUACAGCUCAGUGGUAGAGUGCAUGCUUAGCAUGCACGAGGUCCUGGGUUCAAUCCCUAGUACCUCCA
rnacentral:tRNA from 1 species